rnacentral:tRNA from 1 species
GGGGAUUUAGCUCAGCGGCAUAAGCACCUGCCUUGCAAGCAGGUGGUCGUGAGUGAGUUCCAUCCCCG